AGCGUGCGUCAUCAGUCUGCGCCGCCUGACUCCAGAGACCCUGGAUUUGGAGUGGGAAGUGAGGUGUGGGAAGUCUGUCGCUUUCUGAUGAAUGCAUUGUCUGUGGCAUUCGGACCCGAGGGGAAUCUGGCCCCAGGAGGCUGGUACUUGCACCUUAAACCCCUUUCUCGGGAGGCCCGACAGUUGGACAGGCUUGUCUGUUACGCGUGCUGAAUCUGACCGCAGGAGAUUGAAUUAGUUCUCAGUAAUGGGAAGAACCUACAUUGUAGAAGAGGCUGUUGGCCAGUAUCUUUCAAACAUAAAUCUUCAAGGAAAGACUUUUGUCUCUGGUCUUUUGAUUGGACAGUGUUCUUCACAAAAGGAUUAUGUCAUUCUUGCCACUAGAACGCCACCCAAAGAGGAACAAAAUGAGAACCUCAAACAUCAACAAAAAGCUAAGUUGGAUAACUUGGAUGAAGAAUGGGCCACAGAACAUGCCAACCAGGUGUCCAGAAUGCUACCAGGGGGACUUUUAGUUCUUGGAGUAUUUAUCAUUACAACUUUAGAAAUGGGAAAUGAUUUUCAAAAUGCCUUGCGUAGACUAGUGUUUGCUAUGGAAAAAUCUAUGAAUAAAAGGAGACUGUGGAAUUUCUCAGAAGAGGAGGUCUCAGAACGAGUGACACUUCACAUUUGCUCUUCUACAAAAAAAAUAUUUUGUCGAACUUAUGAUAUCCGUGAUCCAAAGAGUUCAGCAAAACCAGCAGAUUGGAAGUAUCAAAAUGGACUAUCAACUUCAUGGCUUUCUUUAGAGUGUACAGUUCAUAUUAAUAUUCACAUCCCGCUGUCUACUACUUCAGUCAGCUAUACUCUGGAGAAGAAUACAAAGAAUGGACUUGCACGCUGGGCCAAGCAAAUAGAAAAUGGUGUUUAUUUGAUUAAUGGACAAGUUAAAGAUGAAGAUUGUGACAUAUUAGAAGGACAGAAAAAAUCUUCUAGAGGAAAUGUUCAAGCGACUAGUCAUUCUUUUGAUGUCAAAGUGCUAACACAAUUGCUCCUGAAUUCAGACCACAGAUCCACAGCCACAGUCCAGAUCUGCAGGGGCUCCGUAAACCUUAGGGGUGCUGUGAAAUGCAGAGCUUAUCUCCAUAGCAGUAAACCCAAGGUUAAAGAUGCUGUGCAGGCAAUGAAGAGAGAUAUAUUGAAUACAGUUGCAGAUCGUUGUGAAAUACUAUUUGAGGAUCUGCUUUUGAAUGAAGUUCCAGAAAGAAAAGAUUCUGAAAAAGAGUUUCACAUCCUCCCUCACCGAGUUUUUAUCCCCAUUCCGGGAUCCACUAUAAUGUUAUGUGAUUAUAAAUUUGGUGACGAGUCAGCUGAAGAAAUGAGAGACCAUUUUAUAGAGAUGUUAGAUCAUAUGAUUCAAAUAGAAGAUUUGGAAAUUGCAGAGGAGAUAAACACAGCUUGUAUGAGGUACUCUGCGAAUACUGAAGCUUCAUUGGACAACACAGAUGAUGAACAUCCAGAACAACCAAUUAAAACUAGAAUAAUACUGAAAAUUCAGCAAAACAUAGGUGUGAUCACAGCUGUUGCAGUUGCAGUCCUUGCUGCGGGGAUCUCCUUUCACUACUUCAGUGAUUAGGGUGAGACACAAAGAGCUUCCUGAUCAUCCAAAGAACAUUGACCAGCAAUUUUGAAUCAUAAAGAUGCAGACCAUCCAUCUACAUUUCAGACAGUAGCAGCCAGAUCUGCUGCCAAUAAUGCCUACUAGUCCUGUUGAUCUGGAUCACAUAUUGAUCAGGAUAUUAAAAAUUUGAGUGGUCAGCAUUGACUGAAUAUCUUAGAGUAAGUGGAGAAAUUUCUACAAAGUGGGACAACUACCUAUUGGGUAAACUCAUAUUCUAGGACCUUUCUAAGGUAUACUUAUUUACAGAAUAUUGAUUGAGUUUUGAUCAAGGAGUAAGGCAACCUUUCUAGAGAGGUUUGAAUUGGUAGGGAUUGUCAUAAAUCAUGUGCUUUCUCAGGUUAGUAUAUCAUACCUGUUUUAAUAUAUUAGACUUUUACUUCUAGCUGUACAUUAGACUAGGAACUACAAAACUAAAUCCUGAAUAGAAUCUACUUUUGAAUGAGUUAAUCAGCUCAAUGAAAGUUUCUGAGAAUCAUACCUCUAUUUUUACUCCCCUACAAAAAUGAACACAUUUUGAGUUGGGAGUUGUGAAGACUGCAUUAAGCAUGCAAGUGGGCAGUGGUUACUCAGAUGGCAAGCACUGGUUGCAGCACUGCCAUAUGCAGUUUGCCUUGGAUUGGAAACAAAGAGAUGAAUCUGCAUCUGACAUGCUGUCCUAGCCAGGACAGUUGAAGUGGCUACUCAGUUUUCCUGGAGCUUCUGGCAGAAACAAGAUACAGGCUCAAGAUUUCCAUAGGUUAAGAUAAAGUAGUAUUAUUUCAUGACUAGAGAUUACUAGGUGCACAUUGAAACCAGCUAGCAUGAGAAAGAACCAUACAAAUAAUAAACUUUGGAUUCAGUUCUCCAAAAUCUCAUCACCAAUUUCUGUGAAAGACUGAACCACAGACACAUAUGAAAAAUAGACAAAGGACUACUAAAAAUGAAAAAAAUGUUAUGUGAAAUUUAAAAAAUCUCAGGUGUGUUGAAUAUCAUUAGACUCAACUGAAGACACAAUAAACAGUGAGUUCUAAAGAAAUUAUCUAGUGCUCAGCAAGGAGAAACAAGGAGCAAGAAAAUAAAAAUAUUAAAGAGAAGUUAAGAGAUAUGGAGAGAAAAAUUACAAAGACUAGAAGUACUGUGAAGAAAGAAUAGAGAGGGUGGAGGAGUGGCAAUAUUUGAAGAUAACUAUAUUCCAGAUUUGUUGGAAAAAUAUGACUUCAUGAUUUCAGGAUACAUAGUACAUCCCAAGCAUAUAAGGAUCAAAUGUAUGCCUAACCCCAAAGUAGUGUAACAAAAAAUUACCAAACACAGGAUUUUAAAAGCAGUCAAAGGGACAAAAAGAUCGUCAAUGAAGGCAAGACAGUUACAUACUUUGUAGGCUUCUCAGUAGCAACAAUGUACUCAAAAGAUGAUGAAAUAAUACCUUCAAAAUUAUGAGAAAAACUAAUUGUCAGCUUUGAAUUUGUAUCAAGCAGAACUGAAAUGUUUGGAUGAAAAGUAGAUUUUUGCCAGCAGACCUUCACUAAAGAAACUGCAAACAGAUGAUCUUCAAGAAGGAAAAUGAUUCCACAAGGAUGAUCUGAAAUCGAAGGACUAGUGAACAAAUAAAAUGAUAAACAUGUAAAUCAAGUGUUGUUAAUAUAAAACAAUUGUAAUGAAAGAAGUGUUUAUAAGAAAUAAAACUGUAAACAAAUGUAAGACUAAAUAAACAUUUUAUGCAAUAUGAA